UACGAAGGGGGCUAGCGUUGCUCGGAAUUACUGGGCGUAAAGGGAGCGUAGGCGGAUAUUUAAGUCGGGGGUGAAAGCCCAGGGCUCAACCCUGGAAUUGCCUUCGAUACUGGGUAUCUAGAGUAUGGGAGAGGUGUGUGGAACUCCGAGUGUAGAGGUGAAAUUCGUAGAUAUUCGGAAGAACACCAGUGGCGAAGGCGACACACUGGCCCAUUACUGACGCUGAGGCUCGAAAGCGUGGGGAGCAAACAGG
rnacentral:rRNA from 1 species